UAGCAGGCUGCGGACAUGGGCAGCCCGGGUCCAGGUCAUUGAUGGUGCAGAGAAAGGAUUUUUUGAAAGCGCUUCCCCGUGUUUGAAGGGACCCUUCCUGUCCCUUCCAAACCUGGAGCAUUCUGCA
rfam:Canis lupus familiaris chromosome 24, whole genome shotgun sequence.